rnacentral:misc_RNA from 1 species
AGGUUGGUGCGUUUUUCUAAUAUUUGUGUUAAAGUGUGCUCAGAUCAGUUUAUUGUAUUUUCAGGAAGAAUAUACGAUUGAAAAGAACAAGUCCCCAUCAUGGCUACCAACCACCGAGAGGCCAUUCAAAUGCAGAUCCAGCAGGACUGGGCCAACCGCGAGUACAUCGAGGUCAUCACCAACAGCAUCAAGAAGACGGCCGAGUUCCUCAACUCGUUCGACCUCAGCUGCAAGUCGCGGCUGGCCAUCCUCAACGAGAAGCUGACCAAGCUGGAGCGGAAGAUAGACUAUCUGGAGGCGCGCGUGACCAAGGGAGAAACGCUCAACUAGUGGUGACUGUAGUGUGGGACUCACGGUGAUUAGAACACUGAGACACACUGGAAACUCGCGUCGCGCGUGGUGUCUGAACAUGGUGCGGUCCCAUGGAACGUCCACUGAAGUAGUCGUCUCUGGCAGACUUCUGUACGGCCCGGAACGACUGAACUAUCAGAGUACCUGCUGCUAGUGGCUGAACCCGAAUGAAUAUCGAUGCCCGCUCUUGAGCCAUGUGCUUCUUGAUAUGUGGUGAAGUAAGGGAUGACUGUAUACUGUGUCCAAAGGACGUUAGCCAGCGCAUUAUUGAAACGGUCAAACCAAGGUGAAGCCAUUAUCUCCCGACCAGAGAUUCUCGGUCGAGCGCUUCCAAUGCCAUUUCUGUUUUAAUAUUUACAUCGACUGCAAAGAAGAAGGCCAUACACUUGAAGAACUUUGUCGCUUAGUUAGUAUAGAAGCAACAACCAGUCGACAAACUUUGCUUUAUGCCGCAUGCGACCGAUCAAUCCUCAUGUUGCUUGUGUGGCCACCAUGUACAAGAUGUUUUGUUUUGUAAAGAAACAAUGACGUAGACUACAAUACAUAGAUACGUCAG